CCUACGGGAGGCAGCAGUAAGGAAUAUUGGUCAAUGGAGGCAACUCUGAACCAGCCAUGCCGCGUGCAGGAAGACAGCCCUCUGGGUCGUAAACUGCUUUUAUUCGGGAAUAAACCUUAUUACGUGUAAUAAGCUGAAUGUACCGAAGGAAUAAGGAUCGGCUAACUCCGUGCCAGCAGCCGCGGUAAUACGGAGGAUCCAAGCGUUAUCCGGAUUUAUUGGGUUUAAAGGGUGCGUAGGCGGCUUAUUAAGUCAGGGGUGAAAGACGGUGGCUCAACCAUCGCAGUGCCUUUGAUACUGAUGAGCUUGAAUGAACUAGAGGUAGGCGGAAUGUGACAAGUAGCGGUGAAAUGCAUAGAUAUGUCACAGAACACCGAUUGCGAAGGCAGCUUACUAUGGUUUUAUUGACGCUGAGGCACGAAAGCGUGGGGAUCAAACAGGAUUAGAUACCCUGGUAGUCCACGCCCUAAACGAUGAAUACUCGCUGUUAGCGAUAUACAGUUAGCGGCUAAGCGAAAGCGUUAAGUAUUCCACCUGGGGAGUACGCCCGCAAGGGUGAAACGUCAAAUGAAUUGACGG
rnacentral:rRNA from 1 species